rnacentral:tRNA from 1 species
GCCUGGGUGGCUCAGUCGGUUAAGCGUCUGACUUUGGCCCAGGUCAUGAUCCCAUAGUUCGUGGGUUCGAGCCCCGCGCUGGGCU